rnacentral:rRNA from 1 species
CAGUAGCCACGGGAAUACGUAGGUGGCAAGCGUUGUCCGGAAUUUUUGGGCGUAAAGGGCUCGCAGGCGGUUUCUUAAGUCUGAUGUGAAAGCCCCCGGCUCAACCGGGGAGGGUCAUUGGAGACUGGGAAACUUGAGUGCAGAAGAGGAGAGUGGAAGUCCACGUGUAGCGGUGAAAUGCGUAGAGAUGUGGAGGAACACCAGUGGCGAAGGCGACUCUCUGGUCUGUAACUGACGCUGAGGAGCGAAAGCGUGGGGAGCGAACAGGAUUAGAUACCCCAGUAGUCCCUGUCUCUUAUCC